rnacentral:rRNA from 1 species
UGCCAGCAGCCGCGGUAAUACGGGAGUGGCAAGCGAUAUCCGGAUUUAUUGGGUUUAAAGGGUCCGUAGGCGGGUUAUUAAGUCAGUGGUGAAAUCCUACAGCUCAACAGUAGAACUGCCAUUGAAACUGGUAACCUUGAGUAUAAUUGAAGUGGGCGGAAUGUGUCAUGUAGCGGUGAAAUGCUUAGAUAUGACACAGAACACCGAUUGCGAAGGCAGCUCACUAAGUUAUAACUGACGCUGAGGGACGAAAGCGUGGGUAGCGAACAGGAUUAGAUA